rnacentral:rRNA from 1 species
UACGUAGGUGGCGAGCGUUGUCCGGAUUUACUGGGCGUAAAGAGCGCGCAGGCGGUCGUGCAAGUCGCGUGUGAAAGCCCCCGGCUCAACUGGGGAGGGUCACGCGAUACUGCUCGACUCGAAGGCAGGAGAGGGGAGUGGAAUUCCCGGUGUAGUGGUGAAAUGCGUAGAUAUCGGGAGGAACACCAGUGGCGAAGGCGACUUCCUGGCCUGUUCUUGACGCUGAGGCGCGAAAGCUAGGGUAGCAAACGGG